UACGUAGGGGGCAAGCGUUGUCCGGAAUGACUGGGCGUAAAGGGAGUGUAGGCGGCUUAAUAAGUUAGAUGUGAAAUCCCGCGGCUCAACCGCGGAACUGCAUCUAAAACUGUUGAGCUGGAGUGCAGGAGAGGUGAGUGGAAUUCCUAGUGUAGCGGUGGAAUGCGUAGAUAUUAGGAGGAACACCAGAGGCGAAGGCGACUCACUGGACUGUAACUGACGCUGAGGCUCGAAAGCGUGGGGAGCAAACAGG
rnacentral:rRNA from 1 species